rnacentral:rRNA from 1 species
CGCUCUCUGUAAGUUGUUAGUAAAUUAUAAUAGAUACUUAGAUAGGGAGUCGGACCUGCCCAGUGACUAGAAUGUUAAACGGCCGCGGUACUCUGACCGUGCAAAGGUAGCAUAAUCAUUUGCCUUUUAAUUGGAGGCUUGUAUGAAUGGUUUGACGAGAACUAAACUGUCUCUUUUUAAAUAUAUAGAAAUUAAUUUUUAGGUGAAGAAGCCUAUAUUUAGUUGAGGGACAAGAAGACCCCGUUGAGCUUUAGUGAUUUAGUAAAAAUUAAUACACUAUAAAUAAAAUCAGGUUUAUUACAUUAAAUGAAGAUAUUUUUUACUAAAAAUCUUUAGUUGGGGCGACUAAGGAACAUAAAAAGCUUCCUUUAAAAAUAAAAUUUUAUGAAGUCAAUUUAAAUAUGAUCCAGUAUUUACUGAUCAAAGGAAAAAGUUACCACGGGGAUAACAGCGUAAUCUCUCUGGAGAGUUCUUAUCGAAAGGGGGGUUUGCGACCUCGAUGUUGGACUAAGAUAUCCUAGAGGUGUAGAAGCUUCUAAUGGUUAGUCUGUUCGACUAUUAAAAUCUU